GGUGGCUCAGUGGUAGAGCGCUUGCCUUGCAAGCAUUUGGCCCUGGGGUUCAACUCCUCAGCACCA
rnacentral:tRNA from 1 species